rnacentral:lncRNA from 1 species
GUGGACAUGAAGCUAGGGUUAUUGUUUGGGCUACGGUUAAGGUUGAACCAGGAUGUGGACAUGAAGCUAGGGUUAGGGUUUAGGCUACGGUUAAGGUUGAACCAGGAUGUGGACAUGAAGCUAGGAUUAGGGUUUAGGCUACGGUUAAGGUUGAACCAGGAUGUGGACAUGAAGCUAGGGUUAGGGUUUAGGCUACGGUUAAGGUUGAACCAGGAUGUGGACAUGAAGCUAGGGUUAUUGUUUGGGCUACGGUUAAGGUUGAACCAGGAUGUGGACAUGAAGCUAGGGUUAGGGUUUAGGCUACGGUUAAGGUUGAACCAGGAUGUGGACAUGAAGCUAGGGUUAGGGUUUAGGCUACGGUUAAGGUUGAACCAGGAUGUGGACAUGAAGCUAGAGUUAGGGUUUAGGCUACGGUUAAGGUUGAACCAGGAUGUGGACAUGAAGCUAGGGUUAGGGUUUAGGCUAUGGUUAAGGUUGAACCAGGAUGUGGACAUGAAGCUAGGGUUAGGGUUUAGGCUACGGUUAAGGUUGAACCAGGAUGUGGACAUGAAGCUAGGGUUAGGGUUUAGGCUACGGUUAAGGUUGAACCAGGAUGUGGACAUGAAGCUAGUGUUAGGGUUUAGGCUACGGUUAAGGUUGAACCAGGAUGUAGACAUGAAGUUAGGGUUAUUGUUUGGGCUACGGUUAAGGUUGAACCAGGAUGUGGACAUGAAGCUAGAGUUAGGGUUUAGGUUAAGGUUGAACCAGGAUGUGGACAUGAAGCUAGGGUUAGGGUUUAGGCUACGGUUAAGGUUGAACCAGGAUGUGGACAUGAAGUGAGGGUUAUUGUUUGGGCUACGGUUAAGGUUGAACCAGGAUGUGGACAUGAAGCUAGGGUUAGGGUUUAGGCUACGGUUAAGGUUAAGGUUGAACCAGGAUGUGGACAUGAAGCUAGGGUUAUGGUUUAGGCUACGGUUAAGGUUGAACCAGGAUGUGGACAUGAAGCUAGGGUUAGGGUUUAGGCUACGGUUAAGUUUGAACCAGGAUGUGGACAUGAAGCUAGGAUUAGGGUUUAAGCUACGGUUAAGGUUGAACCAGGAUGUGGACAUGAAGCUAGGGUAAUGGUUUAGGCUACGGUUAAGGUUGAACCAGGAUGUGGACAUGAAGCUAGGAUUACGGUUUAGGCUACGGUUAAGGUUGAACCAGGAUGUGGACAUGAAGCUAGGGUUAGGGUUUAGGCUACGGUUAAGGUUGAACUGGAUGUGGACAUGAAGCUAGUGUUAGGGUUUAGGCUACAGUUAAGGUUUAACCAGGAUGUAGACAUGAAGUUAGGGUUAUUGUUUGGGCUACGGUUAAGGUUGAACCAGGAUGUGGACAUGAAGCUAGAGUUAGGGUAUAGGCUAUGGUUAAGGUUGAACCAGGAUGUGGACAUGAAGCUAGGGUUAGGGUUUAGGCUACGGUUAAGGUUGAACCAGGAUGUGGACAUGAAGUGAGGGUUAUUGUUUGGGCUACGGUUAAGGUUGAACCAGGAUGUGGACAUGAAGCUAGGGUUAGGGUUUAGGCUACGGUUAAGGUUGAACCAGGAUGUGGACAUGAAGCUAGGGUUAGGGUUUAGGCUACGGUUAAGGUUGAACCAGGAUGUGGACAUGAAGCUAGGGUUAGGGUUUAGGCUACGGUUAACGUUGAACCAGGAUGUGGACAUGAAGCUAGAGUUAGGGUUUAGGCUACGGUUAAGGUUGAACCAGGAUGUGGACAUGAAGCUAGGGUUAGGGUUUAGGCUACAGUUAAGGUUGAACCAGGAUGUGGACAUGAAGCUAGGGUUAGGGUUUAGGCUACAGUUGGGUUGAUCCUCUCAAUCCUCUCAUUUGUAUUAAUUCAAAUGUUCC